GACAGAGGAUGCAAGCGUUAUCCGGAAUGAUUGGGCGUAAAGCGUCUGUAGGUGGCUUUUUAAGUCCGCCGUCAAAUCCCAGGGCUCAACUCUGGACAAGCGGUGGAAACUACCAAGCUUGAGUACGGUAGGGGCAAAGGGAAUUUCCGAUGGAGCGGUGAAAUGCGUAAAGAUCGGGAAAGAACACCAACGGCGAAAGCUCUGUGCUGGGCCGACACUGAGAGACGAAAGCUAGGGGAGCACAUAGG
rnacentral:rRNA from 1 species